AGAGUUUGAUCCUGGCUCAGGAUGAACGCUAGCGACAGGCCUAACACAUGCAAGUCGAGGGGCAGCGGAGAGGUAGCAAUACCUUUGCCGGCGACCGGCGCACGGGUGAGUAACACGUAUGCAAUCCACCUGUAACAGGGGGAUAACCCGGAGAAAUCCGGACUAAUACCCCAUAAUAUGGACACUCCGCAUGGAGAGUCCAUUAAAGAAAGCAAUUUUGGUUACAGACGAGCAUGCGCUCCAUUAGCCAGUUGGCGGGGUAACGGCCCACCAAGGCGACGAUGGAUAGGGGUUCUGAGAGGAAGGUCCCCCACAUUGGAACUGAGACACGGUCCAAACUCCUACGGGAGGCAGCAGUGAGGAAUAUUGGUCAAUGGUCGGCAGACUGAACCAGCCAAGUCGCGUGAGGGAAGACGGCCCUACGGGUUGUAAACCUCUUUUGUCGGAGAGUAAAGUACGCUACGUGUAGCGUAUUGCAAGUAUCCGAAGAAAAAGCAUCGGCUAACUCCGUGCCAGCAGCCGCGGUAAUACGGAGGAUGCGAGCGUUAUCCGGAUUUAUUGGGUUUAAAGGGUGCGUAGGUGGUGAUUUAAGUCAGCGGUGAAAGUUUGUGGCUCAACCAUAAAAUUGCCGUUGAAACUGGGUUACUUGAGUGUGUUUGAGGUAGGCGGAAUGCGUGGUGUAGCGGUGAAAUGCAUAGAUAUCACGCAGAACUCCGAUUGCGAAGGCAGCUUACUAAACCAUAACUGACACUGAAGCACGAAAGCGUGGGGAUCAAACAGGAUUAGAUACCCUGGUAGUCCACGCAGUAAACGAUGAUCACUAGCUGUUUGCGAUACAGUGUAAGCGGCACAGCGAAAGCGUUAAGUGAUCCACCUGGGGAGUACGCCGGCAACGGUGAAACUCAAAGGAAUUGACGGGGGCCCGCACAAGCGGAGGAACAUGUGGUUUAA
rnacentral:rRNA from 1 species